rnacentral:rRNA from 1 species
UACGGGGGGGGCAAGCGUUGUUCGGAAUUACUGGGCGUAAAGGGCUCGUAGGUGGCCAACUAAGUCGGACGUGAAAUCCCCAGGCUCAACCUGGGAACUGCGUCCGAUACUGGAUGGCUCGAAUCCGGGAGAGGGAUGUGGAAUUCCAGGUGUAGCGGUGAAAUGCGUAGAUAUCUGGAGGAACACCGGUGGCGAAGGCGGCAUCCUGGACCGGUAUUGACGCUGAGGCGCGAAAGCCAGGGGAGCAAACGGG